UACGUAGGGUGCGAGCGUUAAUCGGAAUUACUGGGCGUAAAGCGUGCGCAGGCGGCGCGUUAAGACAGGUGUGAAAGCCCCGAGCUUAACUUGGGAAUUGCGCUUGUGACUGGCGUGCUGGAGUGUGGCAGAGGGAGGUGGAAUUCCUAGUGUAGAGGUGAAAUUCGUAGAUAUUAGGAAGAACACCAGUGGCGAAGGCGGCUCACUGGCCCGGUACUGACGCUGAGGCGCGAAAGCGUGGGGAGCAAACAGG
rnacentral:rRNA from 1 species